rnacentral:rRNA from 1 species
UACGUAGGGUGCAAGCGUUGUCCGGAAUUAUUGGGCGUAAAGAGCUCGUAGGCGGCUAGAUGUGUCAAAGGUGAAAUCCCUCGGCUCAACUGAGGAACUGCCUUUGAAACUGUCUGGCUUGAGGCCGGGAGAGGGUAGCGGAAUUCCCAGUGUAGCGGUGAAAUGCGCAGAUAUCAGGAGGAACACCGGUGGCGAAGGCGGGUCUCUGGGCCGAUACUGACGCUGAGGAGCGAAAGCGUGGGGAGCGAACAGG